CACCACAGUAACCUGCUCUUGUCCUUGCAGAGCGGCGUCACCUCCAGUUGGCUGUGACGACACACAGCUGUCGGACUUCAGAGUGUGACGGAAAGAAGUGAUCUUUGGAGGUUUCGCUCAGCAGAGGAGGGAGUCCGGGUCACCGAUGCUGAGAGGUAAUGUCUGUGUCCAUGGCCACACCUGUGACAGCUCCUGAGAAGUCCUCACCCCAUAGACAGAGGGACAGCCGACUGCGACUUCACUGCGGCCUCUGACAGUCCAACUCAUCUGGGAAAGGAGAAAGCGUCCAGCCUCUCUGCUCUUAUUAAGCUAUAGCCCGGCUGUAGCCCCAGGAUUCAGAAAAAUCCCUCCUUUAAAUUGUGUAUGGAUCAAGUUCACGCUGUCACGAUAGAGACGAAAACCACAGGGGCUCAAGGUCCAGCCGUGACUCGGUCUCCACCCACAAGCAUCAUCGUUUCUUGCAUCCUGCUACUUGGGCAGGAGGUCAGCACGUGCAUGUGCCCUCCUCUCUCUGGUCACCUGCAGGACGGCCAGCUCAGGCCAGGCUCUGAGAGGCCCCGCUCCUAGGAGGACCAGCAUCCUCAGAACCCCCUGCUCAUGGGGUGAGCCCUGGAAUGGCCCUGCAGCUACAGAACAGAUCGUUUUCCGGGCCUCCAGCCAUAGGCGGGGAUGAUGCCAGGAAGCCGGGGUUUGGGGUAACCCCUCCCCUUGGCUCCAUGGGGAACAGAGUCCAGGACAGUGCCCCCUUCUGGGGUGGCAGCCUCAGUUCCUAUAUCUGUCUUUCCGGGCAAUCUGGAGAGAGCUCCCGAAAACAUUCCCCGCCUGCGAUCCUACUUGUCUCCAGGCUGACUCCUUGCUUCCCGCGAAGCCCAACCAGCAGGGAGGGGUCACAGGUGCGUGGAAGGCCUGACGGUACAGCCUGGGCAUCUACCUGGAAAACAAGAGGAAGGCUAACAGCUCCCAUGGAGGCUCCUGGAGGCAGAGGCCCCAGUGCAGCACCUCACAUCCCACGACGUCUCAUCCGCUGGAAGCCAUCACGAGCACAUGCUUCACAGGGGCGCCAGUGCAGUCCGCUCCCCUAAUGGAAGAGGACAAGGGCUCAGGGAAUGGACAGCUUCUGCCACCGCGAGGCUGUCGCUGUCACCGGGUGUCUCAUACAAACCGCGUUUCCGUGUUUCUGUUCGUGGACCUUUGGGAUGGACUCCCGGAAUGGGGUGAUUGGGCCAAAGGGCAAUUUUGUACCACCUAUACAGUGAUGAACCAGAAGCCGUCUCUGCCUGCCCAAAACUCAGGCCUUCGGACUCUGAACUUACACCACCAGCUGUCCUGAGUCUCCAGCUGCUGAGAAGAUGGCGGACAGUGGGACUUCUCAGGCUCCGUGACCACGUGAGUCAAUUCCUUAUGUUAAAC